GUUCCUGGAGGGUGUGGCACAGGACAGGAGAGACAGCAUAAUAACAUGUUUAUAUCGUUGACUGAGAGUAGGAUAGUUAGACACAAGGUGCAUUAAAAACGCCUGCUCAUGACAGUCCUUUUAGCUGUAUAUGAAAAUCCUUGACUCAAUACUGGCCUGUCUCUGCUGCUGGCUCUUUGGGAGCUGGUUAUAUAACCAUCAGUCACUAAACACUGCAGAGGAGCCUGCAGAACCAAAACUUUGACCGGACUGGAUCAUCAUACCUUAAGCUGGCAGGAAUGUGUCUCUCACCACUAAGAAACAGCAAAAACCAAAAGGCCACAGAUUUGAGCCUCACAACAGCCAACAGAGAUGUAGAGUCCGCUCUCUUUUUGCAGGCUGUAACAUGCAUUUCUACUGUUAGCAUGAUUGCAACUGCCAUUAGCCUAGCUUACUGAGAUGCUGUAAACCCAGCAAGAAAAUCAAGUAGCAAUUAAUGAAAA